rnacentral:lncRNA from 1 species
UGGAGUUGGACCAGGAUGAGCACCCAGUGGACACUCUUUCAUCUGUUUUUGAUUGUACGAAACAUCCAGCUCCCUCCGUGUCAGCCUACAAAGAUCUGCGUUGUCGAUUGCGGCUGCACAGUGCUCCAGAGUGUGGCUGCAGGUUGUUCAGCCUGUUGUGUAUCGCUGCAGACUGGAAUGCUGUCCUGCUUUUACGUAUAAGGCUGCUUUUACAUACCCGCUGGUGGUGGCGAUGGAGAGCCUGCAUCUGCCUGGCUGGUGGUGAAGAUGGAGAGCCUGCAUCUCCCCGGCUGGUGGUGGCGAUGGAGAGCCUGCAUCUCCCCGGCUGGUGGUGGCGAUGGUGAGCCUGCAUCUCCCCAGCUGGUGGUGGCGAUGGAGAGCCUGCAUCUCCCCAGCUGGUGGUGGCGAUGGUGAGCCUGCAUCUCCCCAGCUGGUGGUGGCGAUGGAGAGCCUGCAUCUCCCCAGCUGGUGGUGGUGAUGGUGAACCUGCAUCUCCCCAGCUGGUGGUGGCGAUGGAGAGCCUGCAUUUCCCCGGCCUGCCCGCUCAGCCUCGGGAGGGGAAGGACUCUCAGCUGGGGGAGCAGCUGCUUUUGUCCCUUUGCCAUCUUGUUCUUUGGGAUUUUCUUGGCGUCUGUGUUGGUCAUUAAAGGUGCUCAUGUUGAGG